rnacentral:rRNA from 1 species
AUUGAACGCUGGCGGCAGGCCUAACACAUGCAAGUCGAACGAGUGGCGGAAGGUUGAGUAAUGUCUGGGAAACUGCCUGAUGGAGGGGGAUAACUACUGGAAACGGUAGCUAAUACCGCAUACCAUCGGAUGUGCCCCGAUGGGAUUAGCUUGUGGGUGGGGUAACGGCUCACCAAGGCGACGAUCCCUAGCUGGUCUGAGAGGAUGACCAGCCACACUGGAACUGAGACACGGUCCAGCCUCCUACGGGAGGCAGCAGUGGGGAAUAUUGCACAAUGGGCGCAAGCCUGAUGCAGCCAUGCCGCGUGUAUGAAGAAGGCCUUCGGGUUGUAAAGUACUUUCAGCGGGGAGGCGUUACCCGCAGAAGAAGCACCGGCUAACUCCGUGCCAGCAGCCGCGGUAAUAC